AGACGUCUACAUUAGAUACCCGGGUAGUCCCAGCCGUAAACUAUGCGCGUUAGGUGUAUCGGCGACCACGAGUUACCGAGGUGCCGUAGGGAAGCCGUGAAGCGAGCCACCUGGGAAGUACGGCCGCAAGGCUGAAACUUAAAGGAAUUGGCGGGGGAGCACCACAACGGGUGGAGCUUGCGGUUUAAUUGGACUCAACGCCGGGAAGCUCACCGGAUAAGACAGCGGAAUGAUUGCCGGGCUGAAGACCCUGCAUGACCAGCUG
rnacentral:rRNA from 1 species